rnacentral:rRNA from 1 species
UACGUAGGGGGCGAGCGUUGUCCGGAAUUAUUGGGCGUAAAGCGCGUGUAGGCGGCUUUGCAAGUCGGGUGUGAAAGCCCUCAGCUCAACUGAGGAAGUGCGCCCGAAACUGCAGAGCUUGAGUACCGGAGAGGAUGGCGGAAUUCCCCAAGUAGAGGUGAAAUUCGUAGAUAUGGGGAGGAACACCGGUGGCGAAGGCGGCCAUCUGGACGGAUACUGACGCUGAGACGCGAAAGCGUGGGUAGCAAACAGG